AGAAGCUUUACAGAAGCUUCACAGAAGCUUUACAGAAGCUUCACAGAAGCUUCACAGAAGAUUCUGUGAAGCUUCUGUGAAGCUUCUGUGAAGCUUCUGUAAAGCUUCU
rnacentral:miRNA from 1 species